rnacentral:tRNA from 1 species
GGAGUAAAUAAAAUGAACUUCUAAUUCAAUUUUUUAUAAUAAUUUAUUAUUACUCUU